rnacentral:rRNA from 1 species
UACGUAGGGGGCAAGCGUUGUCCGGAUUUAUUGGGCGUAAAGAGCGUGUAGGCGGCCAGGUAAGUCGGGUGUGAAAUCUUGGAGCUUAACUCCGAAACUGCAUUCGAUACUGCCGUGCUUGAGGACUGGAGAGGAGACUGGAAUUUACGGUGUAGCGGUGAAAUGCGUAGAUAUCGUAAGGAAGACCAGUGGCGAAGGCGGGUCUCUGGACAGUUCCUGACGCUGAGGCACGAAGGCCAGGGGAGCAAACGGG